UCGGGAAUUUUGGGCAAUGGGGGGAACUCUGACCCAGCCAUGCCGCGUGCAGGAUGAAGGCGUUAUGCGUUGUAAACUGCUUUUAUAUAGGAAGAAAUAGUCCUUGCGAGGAAAGUUGACGGUACUAUAUGAAUAAGCACCGGCUAACUCCGUGCCAGCAGCCGCGGUAAUACGGAGGGUGCAAGCGUUGUCCGGAUUUAUUGGGUUUAAAGGGUGCGUAGGCGGUUUAUUAAGUCAGUGGUGAAAGACGGUCGCUCAACGAUUGCAGUGCCAUUGAUACUGGUAGACUUGAGUAUGAUUGAGGUAGCUGGAAUGGAUAGUGUAGCGGUGAAAUGCAUAGAUAUUAUCCAGAACACCAAUUGCGUAGGCAAGUUACUAAGUCAUAACUGACGCUGAGGCACGAAAGUGUGGGUAUCAAACAGGAUUAGAUACCCCAGUAGUCCCUGAGCGGGCUGGCAAGGCGCAU
rnacentral:rRNA from 1 species